rnacentral:rRNA from 1 species
AUUGAAAGCUGGCGGAAGGCCUAACACAUGCAAGUCGAACGAGUGGCGGACGGGGGAGUAAUGUCUGGGAAACUGCCUGCUGGAGGGGGAUCACUACUGGAAACGGUAGCUAAUACCGCAUACCAUCGGAUGUGCCCAGAUGGGAUUAGCUAGUCGGUGGGGUAAAGGGUAACCGCGGCGACGAUCCAUAGCUGGUCUGAGAGUAUGACCAGCGACCCUGGACGUGAGAGACAGUGCUGACUGCUAUGUGAGUCCGAAGUGGGGAAUAUUGCACACUGGGUGCAAGUCUGAUGCAGCCAUGCCGCGUGAGUGAAGAAGGCCUUCGGGUUGGAAAGUACGGUCAGCGGGUAGGCGUUACCCGCAGAAUAAGCACCGGCUAACUCCGGACCAGCCGACGCGGUAAUUC